GAUGAACGCUAGCUACAGGCUUAACACAUGCAAGUCGAGGGGUAACAAGAGAAAAGCUUGCUUUUCUUGUUGACGACCGGCGCACGGGUGAGUAACGCGUAUCCAACCUGCCUAUAACUAGGGAAUAACCUUGCGAAAGUAAGACUAAUACCCUAUGAUUUCCUUUGAUGGCAUCAGAUUAGGAAUAAAGAUUUAUCGGUUAUAGAUGGGGAUGCGUCUGAUUAGCUUGUUGGCGGGGUAACGGCCCAUCAAGGCAACGAUCAGUAGGGGUUCUGGGAGGAAGGUCCCCCGCAUUGGAACGAAGACACGGUCCAAACUCCUACGGGAGGCAGCAGUGAGGAAUAUUGGUCAAUGGGCGGAAGCCUGAACCAGCCAAGUAGCGUGCAAGAUGACGGCCCUAUGGGUUGUAAACUGCUUUUAUACAGGAAUAAAGUUAGCCACGUGUGGUUAUUUGUAGGUACUGUAUGAAUAAGGACCGGCUAAUUCCGUGCCAGCCGCCGCCGUAA
rnacentral:rRNA from 1 species